rnacentral:lncRNA from 13 species
AUGCUGCCCCCUACCCUAGAGAAGUUAACGGGAUCCCAGCCAAAAGAUUUAAGAAGCACUAAAACCCGUGCUGGCCCCAGAUCUAGUGGUAGACCUUACCAUCUGAGGCGCCAUCGUCCUGUCCACUCUCGUCCGAGGUGUCUGACUCAUUCCCUCCAACUUGCUUGGCUGCAACAGAAGGCUUCCUCUUGGUGUGAGAAGAGGGUCUCUCAGUCUCUGUUGAGCUCCCAGCCUGAGGAAUAAACAGUCAUGACAGUCUAUUAAAAAACAUCCAAGAGGAAAAAGCAUGAGAAUAGCCCCAGAGUGAUCGUAGUGUCCUGUUGUCUGCCACAGAAGCUACAGUCCGGCUGUUCACCAAAUGGCACCCAAUUCCCCAUCUAGUGCACUACUGUUUUUGGUAAAACAAUGUUUGUGCCCAGGUGGAUACAUUUGAAAAAGUAAGCAGGGGACAUAAAGAUCAUCUGAUGUUGACCUACCUCCUCCUCCUCCUCCUCGUCCUCCUCCAUCUGGUCUGUAAUCGGAAGCUGACCUACUUCCUCCUCCAUCACUUGGUCUGUAGAUUCAGCUGAGGCCUUACUCAUUUUACCUGCCAACAACAAGCCAUUAUCAGGUCUGAAAUUAUACAUAUUAGCUCCCAGUCAUUUAUUGGGUAAAUCACCACCGUUUCGGCAUCACUGUGCCUUCUUCAGGGUGAUAACCUGGUUCAAGUAUUCAUGACAUGUCGACAAACAGUCCAAUUAGUGCAACCAAUGACAAUAGCGAGGGGUGUGUCAUAAUGAUUAAGUUAAUUAGAAUGGAUUGAAAAAUAAGUUUAUGGCAUAUUAAAUAUAUUAGACUAUUGUUGUCAUAUGGAAACAUCAUUUAAUAAUUUUACAUAAUAUUAGCAUCAACAUACAUUCUUUGACUUUCACUGUUUCCCAUUUCAUUACAUCCUUUGGUUAAACCAUAAGAAGCAUCAUCAACAGGGGAAACAUAUUUGCUGUACGCUGAUAAACUGUAGAAAGAAUAUCCAUUUAUAUUUAUUUAUUUACUUGUUCAUAAGAAGGGCCUGAGAUCAGUCAAUAUUCAGACCACUAGGGGUCAAUGUUUUUUUAGACAGGAUAUCCAGUAAGACUCCCUUUGUAGUUGUAGGAUCUCGAUGUCACCUCCUCUACUUGGUGGAGCAACAUGCUCCAUGCCGGUGUGUUUGAGGGAGGUGAUAGGAUGGUUAGAUUCAACGAAGUGAGCUGCUAUUGGAUAGUCAAUGUUCUUACACCUGAUUGAGCUGCGGUGUUCCGCUAUGCGUUGUUUUAGUUGUCUUUUCGUUUGUCCUACGUUGGCUUUUCCACAUGAACAGGUGAUGAGAUAGAGUUAUCACGAAGACCAAGGUAGUAAUCUAACAGGGACUUUUCAACCUGUAUGUGGGCAUCUGAAGGCUGUUUAAUAGUGCUAUUGCCCUGUGCGCAUGAGCCACAUUUGUAGUUCCCAUUUGGAAUGGGUGUCUAGAAUAGAGGUCGACCGAUUAUGAUUGUUCAGCGCCGAUACCAAUUAUUGAAGGACCAAAGAAGCCGAUUUAAAAAGAAAUGUAUUUGUAAUAAUGACAAUUACAACAAUAAUGAAUGAACACUUAAUAUAAUACAUCAAUAAAAUAAAUUUAGCCUCAAGUAAAUAAUGAAACAUGUUCAGUUUGAUUUAAAUAAUGCAAAAACAGUGUUGGAGAAGAAAGUAAAAGUGCUGUAUUCGCGUAACUCCUUGUGGAGUGCACAAGGACUAGUUAACUGUAAGGUUGCAAGAUUGGAUUCCCCGAGCUGACACGGUGAAAAUCUGUUGCUCUGCUCCUGAACAAGUCAGUUAACCCACCGUUCCUAGCCCUCACCCUCCGAUCCAACAGGUCCCAGACGUGCUCAAUGGGAUUGAGACCAAGGCUCUUCACUGGCCAUGGCAGAACACUGACAUUCCUGUCUUGCAGGAAAUCACACACAGAACGAGCAGUAUGGCUGGUGGAGGGUCAUGUCAGGAUGGGCCUGCAGGAAGGGUACCACAUGAGGGAGGAGGAUGUCUUCCCUGUAACACACCUUAUUGAGAUUACCUGCAAUGACAACAAGCUCAGUCCGAUGAUGCCGUGACACACCGCCCCAGACCAUGACAGACCCUCCACCUCCAAAUCAAUCCCGCUCCAUAGUACAGGCCUCGGUGUAACGCUCAUUCCUUCGACGAUAAAUGCGAAUCCGACCAUCACCCCUGGUGAGACACAACCGCGACUCGUCAGUGAAGAGCACUUUUCGCCAGUCCUGUCUGCUCCAGCGACGGUGGGUUUGUGCCCAUAGGCGAUGUAGUUGCCGGUGAUGUCUGGUGAGGACCUGCCUUACAACAGGCCUACAAGCCCUUAGUCCAGCCUCUCUCAGCAUAUUGAGGACAGUCUGAGCACUGAUGGAGGGAUUUGUGCGUUCCUGGUGUAACUCGGGCAGUUGUUGUUGCCAUUCUGUACCUGUCCCACAGGUUUGAUGUUCUGAUGUGACAACACCUGCACAGGAGCGGUACACGUGGUCUGUCACUGCGAGGACAAUCAGCUGUCCAUCCUGUCUCCCUUUAGCACUGUCUUAGGCGUCUCACAGUACGGACAUUGCAAGUUAUUGCCCUGGCCACAUCUGCAGUCUUCAUGCCUCCUUGCAGCAUGCCUAAGGCAGGUUCACACAGAUGAGCAGGGACCCUGGGCAUCUUUCUUUUGGUGUUUUUCAGAGUCAGUAGAAAGGCCUCUUCAGUGUCCUAAGUUUUCAUAACUGUGACCUUAAUUGCCUACCGUAACGACCGUUCCACGUGUGCACGUUCAUUAAUUGUUUAUGGUUCAUUGAACAAGCAUGCUUUCCCCCCCUCAUCUACACAGAAUACCCCAUAAUGACAAAGCAAAAACAGGUUCAGAUAUUAAAAAAACUGAAAUACCUUUGCUUAAUUAUUCAGUCCCUUUGCUAUGAGACUUGAAAUUGAGCUCAGGUGCAUCCUGUUUCCAUUGAUCAUCCUUGAGAUGUUUCUACAACUUGAUUGGAGUCCACCUGUGAUAAAUUCCAUUGAUUGGACAUGAUUUGGAAAAGGCACACACCUGUCUAAAACCAAGCCAAAAGGUCGAAGGAAUUAUCUGUCGAGCUCAGACAGGAUUGCGUUGAGGUACAAAUCUGGGGAAGGGUACCAAAACAUUUCUGUAGCAUUUAAGGUCCCAAGAACACAGUGGCCUCCGUCAAUAAAUGGAAUCACCAAGACUCUUCCUAGUGCUGGACACCCGGCCAAACUGAUCAAUCGGAGGAGAUGUGCCUUGGUCAGGGAGGCGACCAAGAACCCAAUGGUAACUGACAGAGCUCCAGAGAUUCUCUGUGGAGAUGGGAGAAUCUGCCCGAAGGACAACCAUCUCUGCAGCACCACCACCAAUCAAGCCUUUAUGGUAGAAUGGCCAGAAGGAACCAACUCCUCAGACAAAGGCGCAUGACAGCCCUCUUCGAGUUUGCCAAAAAGGCACCUAAAGGACUCAGACCAUGAGAAACAUGAUGCUCUGGUCUGAUGAAACUAAGAUUGAACCCUUUGGCCUGAAUGCCAAGUGUCACUUCUGGAGGAAACCUGGCACCAUCACCACGGUGAAGCAUGGUGGUAGCAGCAUCAUGUCGAGGGGAUGUUUUUCAGCAGCAGGGACUGGGAGACUAGUCAGGACCGAGGAAAUUAUGAACAGAACAAAGUAAAGAGCGAUCCUUGAUGAAAACCUGCUCCAGAGCACUCAGGACCAGACUGGGGCGAAGGUUCACCUUCCAAUAGGACAAUGACCCUAAACACACAGCCAAGACAACGCAGGAGUGGCUUUGGGACAAGUCUCCGAAUGUCCUUGAGUGGCCCAGUCAGAGCCCGGGCUUGAACCUGGUCUAACAUCUCUGGAGACCUGAAAAUAGCUGUGCAGUGACGCUCCCCAUCCAUCCUGACAGAGCUUGAGAAGAACGGGAGAAACUCCGCAAAUACAGAUGAGCCAAGCUUGUAGUGUCAUACCCAAGAAGACUUGAGGCUGUAAUCGCUGCCAAAGGUGCUAUUACAAAGUACUGAGUAAAGGGUCUGAAUAAUUAUGUAAAUGUCAGUUGUUUUUUUUAAUACAUUUGCUAACAUCUCUAAAAACCUGUUUUUCCUUUAUCAUUAUGGGGUAUUGUGAUGUCAUUAUGGGGUAUUGUGAUGUCAUAGGGUAUUGUGAUGUCAUUGGGUAUUGUGAUGUCAUUAUGGGGUAUUGUGUGUAGAUUGAUGAAGAAAAAAACAAUUGAAUCCAUUUUAGAAUAAGGCUGUAACGUAACACUGUGGAAACAGUGGAGGGGUCUGAAUGCUUUCGGAAAGCGCUGCAUGUACAAAUAACUAGGAUUAAAGUGACAAACAGUAAAAGUAGCAUUUGUGAUGAGUAAAACGUUAGUACAAAAAGGGUCAAUGCAGAUAGUCUGGGUAGCUAUU